rnacentral:rRNA from 1 species
GACGAGGGGUCCAAGCGUUGUUCGGAAUCAUUGGGCGUAAAGCGCGCGUAGGCGGCCCUGGUAAGUCCGUCGUGAAAGUCAAAGGCUCAACCUUUGAAUGUCGAUGGAUACUGCCGGGCUAGAGUCCGGGAAGAGGCGAGUGGAAUUCCUGGUGUAGCGUGGAAUGCGCAGAUAUCAGGAGGAACACCAAUAGCGAAGGCAGCUCGCUGGGACGGUACUGACGCUAAGGCGCGAAAGCGUGGGGAGCAAACAGGG